CGCUGGCGGCGUGCUUAACACAUGCAAGUCGAACGAAACACCUUAUUUGAUUUUCUUCGGAACUGAAGAUUUGGUGAUUGAGUGGCGGACGGGUGAGUAACGCGUGGGUAACCUGCCCUGUACAGGGGGAUAACAGUCAGAAAUGACUGCUAAUACCGCAUAAGACCACAGCACCGCAUGGUGCAGGGGUAAAAACUCCGGUGGUACAGGAUGGACCCGCGUCUGAUUAGCUGGUUGGUGAGGUAACGGCUCACCAAGGCGACGAUCAGUAGCCGGCUUGAGAGAGUGAACGGCCACAUUGGGACUGAGACACGGCCCAAACUCCUACGGGAGGCAGCAGUGGGGAAUAUUGCACAAUGGGGGGAACCCUGAUGCAGCGACGCCGCGUGAGUGAAGAAGUAUCUCGGUAUGUAAAGCUCUAUCAGCAGGGAAGAAAAUGACGGUACCUGACUAAGAAGCCCCGGCUAACUACGUGCCAGCAGCCGCGGUAAUACGUAGGGGGCAAGCGUUAUCCGGAAUUACUGGGUGUAAAGGGUGCGUAGGUGGUAUGGCAAGUCAGAAGUGAAAACCCAGGGCUUAACUCUGGGACUGCUUUUGAAACUGUCAGACUGGAGUGCAGGAGAGGUAAGCGGAAUUCCUAGUGUAGCGGUGAAAUGCGUAGAUAUUAGGAGGAACAUCAGUGGCGAAGGCGGCUUACUGGACUGAAACUGACACUGAGG
rnacentral:rRNA from 1 species